UAAACAGAUCAAUUACAUUCAUUUGGAGGGUUGUCAUUUUGGAUAUGCUUCAUAUUUUGGGGCAGCCAAACCCAAUUAUUCUGGAAGAUCUGAAGCCCUAGCCAUGGACAAGCCUUCACAAGAAAGCAACGCAAAAUUCCCGUCAAGGAAAUGUGCGAGCCAUUGACUUCUAAUUUCCGCGGAACACAGAUUGGAGAGACUCUCUGAAUAUCCUAUUAUUGCUAGUUGUGGAAUCUGAAGGCAGCAUUCCGAUUCGGCAUGAAGAGAUCUCUUGAAAGAAGCUGCUUUUAGGUAUCAUUCCAUAUUUCCUCAUUGGGAGUUUCCAUCUAAGAUGGCUCUCAACAAAUUUUGAGAUUCCCCAUCUCUGAAGAAAGUGCAACCUUCAGCAUCAUACAUAUAAUUGGUGUAAGAAUAUGGGCAUUCCAAGAUGAGAAAAAGCAUACCAAGGGUGAAAGCAUGGUUGCCAAAAGCUUGAGCAGGAAUGAUUCACCAGGCUUGUGAAUCAAAAGCUCAGAAAACCGAUUCGAGUACAAGUAGCCAAGGCUCACUCCCCAGCAAGAGCCACUAGGGAGAAACCAAUGAGCAGUCCUCUGAAUCAUUAUGCAAGGGUACUCAACUCCUGCAUUAAAGAGGGUAAGAUAUAUAGGACUGUGAAAAGGGACAUAUUGAGCAGCAUUGGAAUAUCUGAAUAUCCUGAAAGAUUUCUGUGAACCAACAACUGCAAUUCUCUUUCUUCUGAUCAAUUCUGCAGCACUGGCCUUGUCCAUAUAAGCGUUGUCCAUGGAAUGGAUAACCUUACCAUUGAACACUUCUGGACCUUGAUGGGG